UACGGGGGGGGCAAGCGUUGUUCGGAAUUACUGGGCGUAAAGGGCUCGUAGGCGGCCAACUAAGUCAGACGUGAAAUCCCUCGGCUUAACCGGGGAACUGCGUCUGAUACUGGAUGGCUUGAAUCCGGGAGAGGGAUGCGGAAUUCCAGGUGUAGCGGUGAAAUGCGUAGAUAUCUGGAGGAACACCGGUGGCGAAGGCGACAUCCUGGACCGGCAUUGACGCUGAGGCGCGAAAGCCAGGGGAGCCAAAGCGGG
rnacentral:rRNA from 1 species